GUGACGUAAAUGGGAGAUCGGAGUCUAAAGGUUGUGCAGCAAGAGACCUGUGCUCAGCACUGAAGAGAUUUACAUUUCCUUUACCUGACUCCUCAAGAGGGAUCUGUAAUACAGUCAUCUUACUGCUCAGACAUGCUACUGAUGUUCAAACAUUGGAGAUUGACUUUUCACAUCAAACCUUACAGUGGACAAGAAAGGAGUUUUACACUGACGACCUAUUUUCUGAGUGCUCCAUCCUUCUCCUGACCUCUGUUCGGGUCUGGCCUCCAGACUCCUUUGUACCACACCGCAGGCCACAGUCUAUUCUUGUGUUUGGAUAAGAGCCUAUUCAUUGAACCUCACAGUGCAGUUCUGCAAGAGUUAAUUCCUGUUUUGCUCUGUGUGCAGCUGCUUGGCUAAUCAGCAAAUAUCAGCUGUACUAUAUAUGUUAGGAUCUUUGUUCCUCCCUUUGCCUGAUCAAUUCACUUAGUUCUCACUAGCUUGCUAGGCUCUGUAAAAAAAAAAGAGAUAUAAUCUCUCUGCCUGUUAUAUGUUUGUCUGCCUGGGUGCCAACUUUUGCCUGGUCCCUGGAUUAUGACUCUCUGCGGCCUGAUUUGACCCGUGCCUUUUUUUCUGAUCUAAACUGGUGCUACCUGCCCUGACCUCUGGACUGUUUUAAAGAUUUGCACUAUUCUGCUUGCUCAGUCCUCUGCCUGUUUCCUGACUAGGAUUAUUGCCUGAUCCAUCCAUGCUUUGCACCAGUGUCUCUCACCCCAUAGGUAAGCAGCCAACCAGAACGGGACUAUUACAAGAGUUAGCAGUCUGGUGGCUCCCCUGCAACGGCGGCCAGAUCCCUUUAUAAGGGUUAAAGGGUUAAAACCAGGGGAUUGCCAGGAUAAUGCACUCAGGACUAGCCCAAAGUCAAACCAGUUGGUUGGCACAGUGAGUCCACACUCACUGCCUGUAGCAACUGGCCUAAUGAACAAACAUGACAGUGCUCUUUCCUGAACAUUAGUCUAUGUAAACAUG